UGCUUCUACUAGAUUAUGUCUAGGGUACUGUGAGUCUGUGAACGUUACUUUUCAUCUGUUCUGGUGUACUAAUGAAUCAAGAAAUCUGUUCUGAUGAUUUCUCGUUAUUGUUGUAAAGAGUUCAUGAUUAUAUGUACUUUCGCAUUUCGACGACAUCAAGCAAUAGCGAAGGCAGAAGUUCUUGCCUUAUAAGUCGAUAUCAUGGUUUUUAGAAAUGUACGCAAUUCGAUUCUAAGUGGUUAUCGGCUAAAAACUAAACAAAUUCGCAUAUCAUUGGUCAUAUAAAAUUUCCAAGGUGAAAUCGACAAAUCGUGGUUUAUAGUUUA